UGAUCAGAGGAGCUGGGCUCCUUGCGAGCUCAACCUAUUCUCAAACUUUCAAUGGGUGAGACGUCUCGCUGGCUUCACUGCAGCGACGACUCUGAAUCCGAGUGCCCAGUGGGCCACUUUUGGUAAGCAGAACUGGCGAUGCGGGAUGAACCGCAUGUCGAGUUAAGGUGCCUAAGCGGACGCAAAUCAGAUACCAUGAAAGGUGUUGAUUGCUCACGACAGCAGGACGGUGGCCAUGGAAGUCGGCAUCCGCUAAGGAGUGUGUAACAACUCACCUGCCGAAGCAAUCAGCCCUGAAAAUGGAUGGCGCUAAAGCGUUCCACCGAUACUCGACCGUCGUCGGCACGCGACCGGCCUCGCCGGUCUCAGGCCACGACGAGUAGGGCGGCGCGGUGGUGAGCGUCGAAGGCGUAGCCGUGAGGCUAGCUGGAGCCGCCAUCGGUGCAGAUCUUGGUGGUAGUAGCAAAUACACAAGCAAGAUCCUUGUGGACCGAUGUGGAGAAGGGUUCCGCGCGAACAGUACUUGGACGUGGGUGAGUCGGCCCUAAGCCAACGGGUAAUUCCCGCAUCCCG
rnacentral:rRNA from 1 species